AGAGUUUGAUCAUGGCUCAGGACGAACGCUGGCGGCGUGCUUAACACAUGCAAGUGGAGCGACGAACCAGGGCUUGCCCUGGGGCAGGCCGCGAACGGGUGAGUAACACGUGGGUAACGUGCCCCGAUGACUGGGACAACCCGGGGAAACCCGGGCUAAUACCGGAUAUGCCCCCUCACGCGAGUGAGGUGUGUAAAGGAAGCUUCGGCCUCCGCAUCGGGAUCGGCCCGCGGCGCAUUAGCUUGUUGGUGAGGUAACGGCUUACCAAGGCAACGAUGCGUAGCUGGUCUGAGAGGACGAUCAGCCACACUGGGACUGAGACACGGCCCAGACUCCUACGGGAGGCAGCAGUGGGGAAUCUUGCGCAAUGCGCGAAAGCGUGACGCAGCAACGCCGCGUGGGGGAAGAAGGCCUUCGGGUUGUAAACCCCUUUCAGUUGGGACGAAGUGUGGGCGGUUAAUAGCCAUUCCACAUGACGGUACCUUCACAAGAAGCCCCGGCUAACUACGUGCCAGCAGCCGCGGUAAUACGUAGGGGGCAAGCGUUGUCCGGAAUCAUUGGGCGUAAAGA
rnacentral:rRNA from 1 species